AUGGAAGAGAAGUGCCGAAGAGAUAUGGGUGGGGAAAAGUGGAGAAGAAUAGACACCGUGACUUCCGCUGAUCCUCAGUUUGAGAUGGAAUGUUCCCUGUUUGCCUGCUUGUGGAUGCAUGUUUUGACUACAGAAGCUAGUCUUUGGAGAGAUACAAGUACUACAAAACAUGGUAUGUUAGUGGCCUGUCUUUUUAGUUUUGAAGCCACCUCCUCCAUUUUCCUCUGUGCCUCAGCUAUCCAAAAUUCUCUGCCUUCAGUGCUUUAUUUACUGAUAGCUUUUGGCAGCAAACUCAAUUACUUUGUCCCCUCAAGAUAAUUAUUCAAAGUGACAGUUUGAGUCGAUAAUUAUCCAAAGCUCCAUUAUUGUUACCCAUAUCCUUUGAUCUGAGAGCUACUCUGAUGUCAAACACCAUUUACCGUCUUUAUUUGUGUGUUUUCAUUAUAAAUUUAUGUAGUCUUCAGUUCCCCUUUCAUUCCUAUUGGCUUUCUA
rnacentral:lncRNA from 12 species